rnacentral:rRNA from 1 species
GACGAACGCUGGCGGCGUGCUUAACACAUGCAAGUCGAACGGUGAAGCGCCUUCCUUUUUGGUGGGUGUGGAUGAGUGGCGAACGGGUGAGUAACACGUGAGUAACCUGCCCCCUUCUUCUGGAUAACCGCAUGAAAGUGUGGCUAAUACGGGAUAUUCUGGGUCUGUCGCAUGAUGGGUCUGGGAAAGAUAUUGUUUCGGUGGGGGAUGGGCUCGCGGCCUAUCAGCUUGUUGGUGGGGUGAUGGCCUACCAAGGCGGUGACGGGUAGCCGGCCUGAGAGGGUGGACGGUCACACUGGGGCUGAGCCACGGCCCAGACUCCUACGGGAGGCAGCAGUGGGGAAUAUUGCACAAUGGGCGCAAGCCUGAUGCAGCGACGCCGCGUGAGGGAUGGAGGCCUUCGGGUUGUGAACCUCUUUCGCCAGUGAAGCAGGCCUGCCUCGUUUGUGGGUGGGUUGACGGUAGCUGGAUAAGAAGCGCCGGCUAACUACGUG